rnacentral:lncRNA from 1 species
AUACCGGACCGACGGAGAACCAGCACGAUUCGGCCGAUAAAAUCGGUACACCGGCGGUACCGAAGAGAAAAGAAUGGAAAGUGAGAAAGAGAGAGAGAGGGGAGGGGAGGAAGGUGGGAGCCGUUGGAGGCCAGCGGUGGCCGGCUACGGCCGUCGGAGGACUUUCGAGCCCCGUAUCGCCCGAUAGGGCUUUCAAGAGAGCAAAAAAGAAAGAGAGAGCGCUCGGAGGGGGGGCGGAGAACCUACCGGACGGACGGUACCU